UUUCCUUGAUACAGGAGGAUAUGUUCAUGGGAAAAGAGUUUGGUAAUUACAUCAUGCUUUCUUAGGAGGAGUACCCUAGCCUAAAGCAUCUGGUAGCUGGGAUACUCUUAUGGAAAAUACAAACUUUGUUUCUGUUUGAUCUGCUUCCUUUUUCCUAACAUGAAGUUCUGAGCUACAGAGGAUAAGUGAAAAUAUGGUGACUAUUGGAUUGAAAUCUUCCUCAUCAGCAUGACUAAUUAAUUUUUGUGCUCUCUGAAUACAAUAAUUUAUCCCAAAAAAAGAUCUAGAAGAAUGAAGCUAACUUUUCCUACUGCUUGCUUGUAAACAAACAUUCAGAAAUAUUGAAGAAAACUGACCAAGAUUAUGAAGCCAGUGUCAAUGUUUUGAGGAUUGCUCUGCAGCUAAUUAACACUCUUCAGUUCUUCAAUCUUUUUAAUAAAGACAUUAGUACAGGGA